UAGGUGACUCUACUGUCAAGUGCU
rnacentral:piRNA from 1 species